rnacentral:lncRNA from 1 species
UAUGAAAAUGACUUGAAUUUUAAUAUUAACUCUACUUCUCUCUUUUUGCAGACAGCAACUAGCUUCAAGAAGUUCAUAGAUAACGGAAUAUUCAGACUGGUGUUUGGCUCAAAACUGUGUGUUACGACCGUGCUCCCCGUUACCCCACAGCUCUGACCUUCAUCCUGUCAGCUCUAUGGCAUGGAGUUACCCCGGAUAUACUCACCUUUUUUACUGCUAUACCCAUCACACUGGCAGCUAGAGCUGUGAGUACCCUUAUUACUGCUAUACCCAUCACACUGGCAGGUCAGUGAGUACCAUUAUUACUACUGACC